GACGACCGGCGCACGGGUGCGUAACGCGUAUACAAUCUACCUUAUAGAGGGGAAUAGCCCAGAGAAAUUUGGAUUAAUGCCCCAUAGUAUUAUUGAAUAGCAUUAUUUAAUAAUUAAACAUUUAUGGCUAUAAGAUGAGUAUGCGUUCUAUUAGCUAGAUGGUAAGGUAACGGCUUACCAUGGCUACGAUAGAUAGGGGUCCUGAGAGGGAGAUCCCCCACACUGGUACUGAGACACGGACCAGACUCCUACGGGAGGCAGCAGUGAGGAAUAUUGGACAAUGGGCGAGAGCCUGAUCCAGCCAUGCCGCGUGCAGGAAGACGGCCCUAUGGGUUGUAAACUGCUUUUACAGAGGAAGAAACACCCCGACGUGUCGGGACUUGACGGUACUCUGCGAAUAAGGAUCGGCUAACUCCGUGCCAGCAGCCGCGGUAAUACGGAGGAUCCAAGCGUUAUCCGGAAUCAUUGGGUUUAAAGGGUCCGUAGGCGGGACAAUCAGUCAGCG
rnacentral:rRNA from 1 species